GGUUUUUGUUUGUUUUGUUUAUUUGUUUUGGUACCGGGGAUUACAAAAGGGCUUUUUCCACUGAGCUAGAUCCCCAGUCCCUUUUUUUUUUAAAUUUAAAUAUGAUCUCUUAGGCACACGUGGAUUACUCGGGCCUGUCAUUCAGCACAGCAUUCUGUAUCCUUAGAGAAUUAUGGGGGUGGGGGAUGAUAUCAGGUGCACAUGUCUGUCUAGAAUGCUCUUCCCUGGAUUUUCUCUUGGCUGGCUCAUUGUUGACAUUUCAGACCAGAUGCCCCCUCCUCACAGAAGUCCUCCUUCCCAGCCAGACUUUCUGCCCAACUCAGCACUGGGCCAGCUUUCAGGCCCCACCUCCCUGAGCCUAGGUCCUCUCCAUCUGAAAGCUACACUUACUGUUUGUUUUUCAUCUCCCUUCUCUGUCUGAAAUCCUCUUCCCUUAUUUCAUUUUCUGCUCCUUUUCUGUUUUCCCUAAACUUAAAAUUUAAGCUUCAUGAGAGCAGGGACCUUGUCUAUCUUGUCAUCUCUAUUUCCUGAGUACUUAAAACAGGGCACAUAAUAGACUUUCAAAAGAAGAUGUUUUCGAAUACACUAAUCCUUGUCAAGAAAAAUUCAACUUAUAAAUCAUAGUAUUAUUUUUCAUGUGCUUCUUCUAGAAGUAACUUAACAUGUCAAAUCUAAGUAGUCACUUGAGGCUAAAACUAGGGCUGGGGUUGUGGCUCAGUGAUAGAGCACUUGCCUAGUAUGUGUGAGGCACUGGGCUCGAUUCUCAGUACCACAUAUAUAAAUAAAUUAACUAAAUAAAG
rnacentral:lncRNA from 1 species